CCUACGGGGGGCAGCAGUGGGGGAUAUUGCACAAUGGGGGGAACCCUGAUGCAGCGACGCCGCGUGGGUGAAGGAGCGUUUCGGCGCGUAAAGCCCUAUCGGCAGGGAAGAAGGAGGCCGUUACUUGAGUAAGAAGCCCCGCCUAAUUACGUGCCAGCAGCGGCGGUAAAACGUAGGGGGCAAGCGUUACCCGGAUUUACUGGGUGUAAGGGGGGCGCAGACGGCAGCGCAAGCCAGGAGUGAAAGCCCGGGGCCCAACCCCGGGACUGCGCUUGGAACUGCGCGGCUGGAGUGCAGGAGGGGCAGGCGGAAUUCCUGGUGUAGCGGUGAAAUGCGUAGAUAUCAGGAGGAACACCGGUGGCGAAGGCGGCCUGCUGGACUGCGACUGACGUUGAGGCCCGAAAGCGUGGGGAGCAAACAGGAUUAGAUACCCGAGUAGUC
rnacentral:rRNA from 1 species